GUGCCAGCCGCCGCGGUAAUACGUAGGUGGCGAGCGUUGUCCGGAAUUACUGGGUGUAAAGGGCGUGUAGGCGGGGAUGCAAGUCAGAUGUGAAAUACCGAGGCUUAACCUCGGGGCUGCAUCUGAAACUGUGUUUCUUGAGUGUCGGAGAGGAAAGCGGAAUUCCUAGUGUAGCGGUGAAAUGCGUAGAGAUUGGGAGGAACACCAGUGGCGAAGGCGGCUUUCUGGACGACAACUGACGCUGAGGCGCGAAAGCGUGGGAGCAACAGGAUUAGAUACCCUGGUAGUCCACGCUGUAAACGAUGGAUACUAGGUGUAGGAGGUAUCGACCCCUUCUGUGCCGGAGUUAACACAAUAAGUAUCCCACCUGGGGAGUACGGCCGCAAGGUUGAAACUCAAAGGAAUUGGCGG
rnacentral:rRNA from 1 species